AACAUGUAUGUGCUAUACUACAAUUGCAACAGUACAAAGAAGAUUGUCACGGCCCCUUUGCAAAGAUGGCAUGUGAAUUAGCAAGGCAUUCCACUUUGGA
ensembl:snRNA U6 U6 spliceosomal RNA